CUGUCAAGAUUUGUAAACUGCAUCAAAGUGAGGAGAUCUUUCUGCUAAUGGAAUUUUGACAAAACCCACUCAACCGGACAGAUGGCUCUGAAUUCCUGCAUAAUGAAAGAUUAAAGAUAUGGGAUGUACAACAUCCAGACCAAAUUAUCAGCAAUAUGGUAAUGCAGACGAAGAAGAAACACCAGUUGAAGAAAAGCAGGCCAGUAAAGGUGGUGAUAAGGUAGCAUUACGACCCAAUCUAGUGUUAGGUGUGGACUUUGUGGACAGUUUCCGUGCAGAAAUCAUUCAGAAAGUUACAUCAGUUGAGCCCAUUCUUGAUGACUUGUUUCAAUUUAUUGGGGGAGAACAGUAUUCAAACGUCACACAACAUAAAACACCCCAGAAAAAACUAAGAGAGCUCUACACUAUCUUAAAUGCACGUGGACCAAAGCUGAAAGCAAAGUUUUACAAGAGUCUGGUAAAAUAUGAGAAUGGAAUUGUCAACGAACUAUAUGAAGGGGUUAGUGAGUCUACCAAUCACAAAGACUGUGUAAGGACACAGGGAUUUGUAACGUUUCGUAAAAAGACUAGUUAGCAGACUUGUAAUUGUAAUUGGUGCAAAUGUGGUACCAAACUGUGAGUCUGAUCGUUGUGCUGAUUUUUUGGGGAGUGUGGGUGCCUUUCAGGGCUUCCUCUUAUACUGGCCAGUAGAGCGCACAGCUUUGUGUAGAAGGGGGGGAGGUAAAGUCUGGGAACCUGUGGAGAAGACAAGGAGAAAGAGUCAAGGUGCUGAUGCUUGCAGGGUAAAGCAUACCCUCCUUUUUGAUGUACAAACCUGAACAUUUCCUCACACUUUCAAAAACUACUUAAACAUUUUCACCUAUUUAACACAGAGUUAACACAAAGAAAACCAAAUUAAUUAUAGAACAAUGCUUAUUCUGAAGCCAUAAAAAUAAGAGACAUUACUGGGAAGGUGCAAAGCAAUUGUCUUUAAGAUAUUAAGCCUCUACUCUCUUAAAGAAAAAAUGCUUUAGGAGGUUCUUUUAGCAAUGAUAAACAGGUACUUUAAUUUUAAUAAUAACUGUUUUAAAUAGAUAUUUGUGAAAGUAUAGAUGUUCCAAAAUUGGUUAAUCUAGCUUUUUAAGAGUAUAACACAGUUGGAGCCAAGGUAGGGUGCAUUUCGCAGCUGCUACAUAUAGAAGGCUGUUCAAAAGUAAAGGACCCUUUAAAUGACAGUUGUACCGCCAGAGCUGGACCACCCUCUAUAUGCUUACUAUGCAUGCUGCAAAGGGCUCACAAAUGAAAAAAAUACCCCUGUCUCUGCCUUUUGUCAAGUUAGGAAGAAUUAGAGUCUUAUAUCAAUCAGAAGGUAAAGCGAAACUAUCCUUCAGUACAAGAAAAGUACUGUAAAUCAUUCUACUACAUCAGGGGUCGGCAAUUCAGAUAUUUUCCAAGUCAUUUCGUGGCGGGCCACAAGUAGGGGUGGGGUUGGGUUGAAAGAAAAAAAUAAAUAUAAAAACACGCCGCUCCUCA
rnacentral:lncRNA from 1 species